AGAGUUUGAUCAUGGCUCAGAACGAACGCUGGCGGCACGCCUAACACAUGCAAGUCGAGCGCUACCUUCGGGUGGAGCGGCGGACGGGUUAGUAACGCGUGGGAACAUACCCUUCUCUAAGGAAUAGCCUCGGGAAACUGAGAGUAAUACCUUAUGCGCCCUUUGGGGGAAAGAUUUAUCGGAGAAGGAUUGGCCCGCGUUAGAUUAGAUAGUUGGUGGGGUAAUGGCCUACCAAGUCUACGAUCUAUAGCUGGUUUGAGAGGAUGAUCAGCAACACUGGGACUGAGACACGGCCCAGACUCCUACGGGAGGCAGCAGUGGGGAAUCUUAGACAAUGGGCGCAAGCCUGAUCUAGCGAUGCCGCGUGAGUGACGAAGGCCUUAGGGUCGUAAAGCUCUUUCACCAGGGAUGAUAAUGACAGUACCUGGAAAAGAAACCCCGGCUAACUCCGUGCCAGCAGCCGCGGUAAUACGGAGGGGGUUAGCGUUGUUCGGAAUUACUGGGCGUAAAGCGUACGUAGGCGGAUCAGAAAGUAUGGGGUGAAAUCCCGGGGCUCAACCCCGGAACUGCCUCAUAAACUCCUGGUCUUGAGUUCGAGAGAGGUAAGUGGAAUUCCGAGUGUAGAGGUGAAAUUCGUAGAUAUUCGGAGGAACACCAGUGGCGAAGGCGGCUUACUGGCUCGAUACUGACGCUGAGGUACGAAAGUGUGGGGAGCAAACAGGAUUAGAUACCCUGGUAGUCCACACCGUAAACGAUGAAUGCCAGUCGUCAGAGGGCUUGCCCUUUGGUGACACACCUAACGGAUUAAGCAUUCCGCCUGGGGAGUACGGUCGCAAGAUUAAAACUCAAGGGAUUGACGGGGGCCCGCACAAGCGGUGG
rnacentral:rRNA from 1 species